ACGAACGCUGGCGGCGUGCUUAACACAUGCCAGUCGAACGGAAAGGCCCUGCUCUUGUGGGGUGCUCGAGUGGCGAACGGGUGAGUAACACGUGAGUAACCUGCCCUUGACUUUGGGAUAACUUCAGGAAACUGGGGCUAAUACCGGAUAGGAGCUCCUGCUGCAUGGUGGGGGUUGGAAAGUUUCGGCGGUUGGGGAUGGACUCGCGGCUUAUCAGCUUGUUGGUGGGGUAGUGGCUUACCAAGGCUUUGACGGGUAGCCGGCCUGAGAGGGUGACCGGCCACAUUGGGACUGAGAUACGGCCCAGACUCCUACGGGAGGCAGCAGUGGGGAAUAUUGCACAAUGGGCGGAAGCCUGAUGCAGCAACGCCGCGUGCGGGAUGACGGCCUUCGGGUUGUAAACCGCUUUCGCCUGUGACGAAGCGUGAGUGACGGUAAUGGGUAAAGAAGCACCGGCUAACUACGUG
rnacentral:rRNA from 1 species